CCUACGGGAGGUAGCAGUAGGGAAUCUUCCACAAUGGACGAAAGUCUGAUGGAGCAACGCCGCGUGAGUGAAGAAGGGUUUCGGCUCGUAAAGCUCUGUUGGGAGUGAAGAAAGAUAGAGGUAGUAACUGGCCUUUAUUUGACGGUAAUUACUUAGAAAGCCACGGCUAACUACGUGCCAGCAGCCGCGGUAAUACGUAGGUGGCAAGCGUUAUCCGGAUUUAUUGGGCGUAAAGGGAACGCAGGCGGGCUUUUUAGUCUGAUGUGAAAGGCUUCGGCUUAACCGG
rnacentral:rRNA from 1 species